rnacentral:rRNA from 1 species
CCUACGGGCGGCAGCAGUGAGGAAUAUUGGUCAAUGGACGAGAGUCUGAACCAGCCAAGUAGCGUGAAGGAUGACUGCCCUAUGGGUUGUAAACUUCUUUUAUCUGGGAAUAAAAUGUUCCACGUGUGGGCUUUUGUAUGUACCAUAUGAAUAAGGAUCGGCUAACUCCGUGCCAACAGCCGCGGUAAUAAGGAGGAACCGAGCGGUUUCCGGAUUUAUUGGGUUUAAAGGGAGCGUAGGUGGGAUGGUAAGUCAGUUGUUAAAGUUUUCGGCUCAACCGUAAAAUUGCAGUUGAAACUGGCAGUCUUGAGUACAGGAGAGGUAUGCGGAAUGCGUGGUGUAGCGGUGAAAUGCUUAGAUAUCACGAAGAACUCCGAUUGCGAAGGCAGCUCACUGGACUGCAACUGACACUGAGGCUCGAAAGUGUCGGUAUCAAACAGGAUUAGAUACCCCGGUAGUC